rnacentral:rRNA from 1 species
UGGGGGCAACCCUGAUCCAGCAAUGCCAUGUGUGUGAAGAAGGCCCUAGGGUUGUAAAGCACUUUAGUUGGGGAGGAAAGCCUCAAGGUUAAUAGCCUUGGGGGAGGACGUUACCCAAAGAAUAAGCACCGGCUAACUCCGUGCCAGCAGCCGCGGUAAUACGGGGGGUGCAAGCGUUAAUCGGAAUUACUGGGCGUAAAGGGUC